AUCUGACAUCUCACAUUAUUGAGGAUAUAAACUAAAUAAAGAAAUAUCAUCGAUCAUGUGAGCUGUUAGAU
rnacentral:pre_miRNA from 18 species